UACGGAGGGGGCGAGCGUUAUUCGGAAUUAUUGGGCGUAAAGGGCGCGUAGGCGGCUUGAUAAGUCAAAGGUGAAAUCCCUCGGCUCAACUGAGGAACUGCCUUUGAAACUGUCAGACUUGAGGCCGGGAGGGGGUAGCGGAAUUCCCAGUGUAGCGGUGAAAUGCGUAGAUAUCGCUUGGAACGCCGAAGGUGAAAACAGGCUGCUGGGGUUGCGCCGACGCUGAGACACGAAAGCCAGGGGAGCAAACGGG
rnacentral:rRNA from 1 species